rnacentral:rRNA from 1 species
AGUGAACGCUGGCGGUAGGCCUAACACAUGCAAGUCGAGCGGACGCACAGUAAGAGCUUGCUCUUAAGGGUGGCGAGUGGCGGACGGGUGAGGAGUACAUCGGAAUCUACUUUUUCGUGGGGGAUAACGUAGGGAAACUUACGCUACUACCGCAUACGACCUACGGGUGAAAGCAGGGGAACUUCGGACCUUGCGCGAUUGAAUGAGCCGAUGUCGCAUUAGCUAGUUGGCAGGGUAAAGGCCCACCAAGGCGACGAUGCGUAGCUGGUCUGAGAGGAUGAUCGGCCACACUGGAACUGAGACACGGUCCAGACUCCUACGGGAGGCAGCAGUAGGGAAUAUUGCGCAAUGGGCGCAAGCCUGACCGAGCCAUACCGCGUGAGUGAAGAAGGUCUUCGGGUUGUAAAACCCUUUUGUUGGGAAAGAAAAGCAGCAUAUUAAUACCCCGCUGUUCUGACGGUACCCAAAGAAAAAGCACCGGCUAACUUCGUG